UACGGAGGGAGCUAGCGUUGCUCGGAAUUACUGGGCGUAAAGCGCACGUAGGCGGCUUUGUAAGUUAGAGGUGAAAGCCCGGAGCUCAACUCCGGAACUGCCUUUAAGACUGCAUCGCUUGAAUCCAGGAGAGGUGAGUGGAAUUCCGAGUGUAGAGGUGAAAUUCGUAGAUAUUCGGAAGAACACCAGUGGCGAAGGCGGCUCACUGGACUGGGUAUUGACGCUGAGGUGCGAAAGCGUGGGGAGCAAACAGG
rnacentral:rRNA from 1 species